ACGGGUGAGUAACGCGUGGGUAACCUACCCUGUACACACGGAUAACAUACCGAAAGGUAUGCUAAUACGGGAUAAUAUAUUUGAGAGGCAUCUCUUAAAUAUCAAAGGUGAGCCAGUACAGGAUGGACCCGCGUCUGAUUAGCUAGUUGGUAAGGUAACGGCUUACCAAGGCGACGAUCAGUAGCCGACCUGAGAGGGUGAUCGGCCACAUUGGAACUGAGACACGGUCCAAACUCCUACGGGAGGCAGCAGUGGGGAAUAUUGCACAAUGGGCGAAAGCCUGAUGCAGCAACGCCGCGUGAGUGAUGAAGGCCUUCGGGUCGUAAAACUCUGUCCUCAAGGAAGAUAAUGACGGUACUUGAGGAGGAAGCCCCGGCUAACUACGUGCCAGCAGCCGCGGUAAUACGUAGGGGGCUAGCGUUAUCCGGAUUUACUGGGCGUAAAGGGUGCGUAGGCGGUCUUUCAAGUCAGGAGUGAAAGGCUACGGCUCAACCGUAGUAAGCUCUUGAAACUGGGAGACUUGAGUGCAGGAGAGGAGAGUGGAAUUCCUAGUGUAGCGGUGAAAUGCGUAGAUAUUAGGAGGAACACCAGUUGCGAAGGCGGCUCUCUGGACCGUAACUGACGCUGAGGCACGAAAGCGUGGGGAGCAAACAGGAUUAGAUACCCUGGUAGUCCACGCUGUAAACGAUGAGUACUAGGUGUCGGGGGUUACCCCCCUCGGUGCCGCAGCUAACG
rnacentral:rRNA from 1 species